GGAGGCGCCAAACAAUAAACUCAAUUCCAAGAUUUCAUCUUUAUGUAACCAUUAAAUAAACUCAAUUCCAAGAUUUCAUCUUUAUGGAAGAGACCUUUAAACAAACAGAUAGCAUGCAAAAUCAAAACUAAUCUUUCACAGGCUGAACUGGUAACGCCGGGACUACUUUACCGCCGCUGUCGGAGCUCAGACACGGAGGCGCGAUAAGGGCGGAAGGGAGCUCAGACACGGAGGCAAGCAAAGGCCGAAGUAAGCUCAGACAUAGAGACGAGGUAGACCGAAGGGUAAGAGGCGCCGGUGGCCGGUGGGAAGAGGCGCCGGCGACGUGGGAAGGGGGGGCAGGUCGCAGACUCAGGCUGGCAGCGAAAGCCCUAGUAUUUGGCUGCCUAUUUUCAAUUUUCCAGACUCCAGUAGCUCAGUU
rnacentral:lncRNA from 1 species